rnacentral:rRNA from 1 species
GGGCCCGCACAAGCGGUGGAGCAUGUGGUUUAAUUCGAUGCAACGCGAAGAACCUUACCUACCCUUGACAUUAAGAGAGUCUUGUAGAGAUACGAGAGUGCCUUCGGGAGCUCUUGGACAGGUGCUGCAUGGCUGUCGUCAGCUCGUGUCGUGAGAUGUUGGGUUAAGUCCCGUAACGAGCGCAACCCUUGCCCUUAGUUGCCAGCAUGUAAUGAUGGGGACUCUAAGGGGACUGCUGGUGGUAAACCAGAGGAAGGCGGGGACGAUGUCAAGUCAUCAUGGCCCUUAUGGGUAGGGCGACACACGUGCUACAAUGGUAAGUACAGAGGGCAGCGAAGUAGUGAUGCGGAGCGAAUCUCAGAAAGCUUAUCGUAGUCCGGAUUGGAGUCUGCAACUCGACUCCAUG